rnacentral:misc_RNA from 1 species
AGAGAAACACACUGGUGUCUCUCUCGACAAGAGGAGCGAUCAGAACUACUGAUGAUUGGUGACUCAUUUUCUCUUCUUCCAAGUUAAGAAUUCAUGCUCAUUUCUUCUUCAAUUAUGUCUAAGAAGGCAAAUUGGAGCUUAUCAAUUCUAUAUUACGCGUCGAUCCUGACACUGAGUCUGCUUGUGACUCGAUCCUACUCUGCAUCUCAAGCCUUCCGGAGAGACCCAGGGCAUCCUCAGUGGCACCACGGCGCCUUUCACGAUGUCAGAGACGGCGUCCGAUCAGACGUCCGCCGCAUGCUUCACACUCGCGGAGGUUCCUUUCCAGGUUUCAUUGGAGGUGAAUGUGGUGCUCAUUGGAUUUAAUGGAGAUGGUGGCUAUAGGUUCAUUAGAUGCACACAAAUUGGACGAAUUUCUGAGAACUAGCUUUCCAUCUCACAGACCUUCAUGCCUAGGGACCAGCGAGCCUCUUGACAUUGAACAUCACGUUGUUUUUAACGCAUUUCCUGCUGGGCAGCCGGAACUGAUCGCUCUCGAGAAGGCGCAGUAGAAAGCUAUGGUUCCUGCUGGGACGGCGAGAGAGGUGGAGGCAGCAGUCGUGGAGCCGGUGUUUCACAAAUUGUAUUCUUACAUAUUUGACAUGGAGAAUAUGAGGUAUACUGCUGCGGAGAAUGAUAGACCUGUUCCCAAUGCAAUCUUUAUUGUCAAUUUUGAUAAGAUAUUUUUCCAAAUCCAAGUCUAUCAUCGCUUUUACAGUUAAGAAUGGAUCCUAGAAAUACAGAAAUCGAUUUUGAUCGCUUAAUGUACAGGAAGAUCAACCCGUUGACCAAUGAGGAAAUUGGUAAGCAAGAGGGAAACUAUAUUUAUCGUUAUCGAUAUAAUGGAGGAGGAGCAACUCAAGUUUGGCUGAGUUCAGACAGAUUUGUUGUGAUCGACCUGUCAGCAGGACCUUGCACAUAUGGAAAGAUUGAAACUGAAGAGGGAAGUGUCAGUUCUAGAACAUUGCCAUGGAUACGAAACAUGAUGUUUCCAAGAGGUGUAGCUGCAAUUAGUGAUCAUGUCUCUCAUGAUAUUUUUGUUGGACAACUCGCUGCUUUAAUAGCAACCACGGUUGAGCAUGUUAUAGCUCCAGACAUUAGCUGAUUACUUGUAAUAAUCUGUUGAUUUAGGUUUGAAACUGUUGACCUGGCAACAAGGUUGCUAAUACCAAUCAUUGUGCUCCAAAACCAUAACAGAUAUAAUAUUAUGGAGAAGGGUCAUAAUUACAGCAUAAAUAUUGAAGAAAUUGAAUCAGAGGUGAAGAAGAUGGUUCAUGAUGGGCCAGAAGUUGUAAUCGUAGGCGGUUCGCAUGCAUUGCAUAGCCAUGAGAAGUUGGCUAUUGCUGUUUCAAAAGCAAUGCGAGGUCAUUCUUUGCAAGAAACUAAAAAGGAUGGGCGAUUCCAUGUGCAUACCAAGACUUAUCUUGAUGGCGCUAUACUUAAGGAGGAGAUGGAACGUUCUGCUGAUGUGCUUGCUGCAGGUUUAGUUGAGUUGGCUGACCCAUCUCUUUCAAGUAAAUUUUUUCUCUGUCAGCACUGGAUGAUGAAUCUGAUGGUUCUGGUGACUCCAUUCUUAAGCAUAAACCUCUAUGGGCUAGUUAUGAUUCAAGACACGGAAAGGAGAAGAAAAAGAAGAAGAAAGAACAAAAGAAACAAGGGGAUCUAUACCGCACUUACGGAACAAGAGUUAUUCCAGUGUGAGCAUGUGGUCCUUGAACCUUAAAAUGGUACAAUUGCUUUUCCAACUUAAAAUAGGAGCAAGCUUUGCAAUUUUAUAGAUUAUUUUUUCCUUGACUUGACACAAAAGCUUUGUAUUCAUGUGGCUGUUUUUAACUAAACUGUGCAGCAGUUUAUACUUUCCUGGCCGCAGCUAAGUACGCUGGACACAAAGAGUUUAUUUAUGAUCAUUUUCAGUCAAUAAUUUUUAUAAAUAUUACUUUUUGUUUCCUUUCGAGUGCCUUAAGAUCAAUAUAAGACAGUGGAGAGCGAAAUUAUCACAAAUGAUUCGUAUAUAUUCUUUUAAUAUUUGCUUUGUGGUCUUCUACUGCAGCUUUGUGCUAUCGGUGGCUGACAUGGAUCCACACCUUAUGAUGGAAGAUGAAAAGCCUUGUUUGGACAAGUAAUGAUGUUGUCAUUGUACUUCAGCAUCAGCGUGAAAAGAUACCUUUGAGUUAUGUUUCGGAGACAGAGAGAAGGCAUGCCCUUCCAUCUCUAGCACAGCGGCACAUAUUGGCGGGGCUCGCUUCUGCUGUUGGUGGGGUGAGUGCACCAUAUGAGAAGGCAUCUCAUGUACAUGAAAGGCCAAUUGUAAAUUGGCUCUGGGCAGCUGGUUGUCAUCCAUUUGGGCCAUUCUCUAAUACUUCGAAAAUCAGUAAAUUGCUGAAGGAUGUUGCCUUGAGGAACACAAUAUACGCACGUGUGGAUUCUGCUCUUCGUAGAAUUCGUGAUACUUCAGAGGCUGUGCAAGCAUUUGCUGCAGAAUAUCUGAAAACCCCUCUUGGCGAGCCUGUGAAAGGCAAGAAAAACAAAACGACCACUGAACUGUGGUUAGAGAAAUUCUACAAGAAAACAACCAACUUACCUGAACCUUUUCCGCAUGAAUUAGUUGACAGGUUGGAGAAAUACCUUGAUGGGCUUGAGGAACAGCUUGUAGAUUUGUCUUCUUUGUUAUAUGAUCACCAGUUACAAGAUGCACAUUUGAAUAGUUCAGAAAUUCUUCAGAGCUCUAUGUUUACACAGCAGUAUGUGGAUCAUGUUUUGGCAAGUGAGAGAGAGAAAAUGAAGUGCUGUGAAAUUGAGUACAAAUAUCCGGUCCACUCUUCACAAACUUAUAUCUAUGGUGGGAUUCUUCUUGCUGGGUUUUUUGUAUAUUUUGUCGUUAUUUUCUUUUCCAAUCCUGUCCGUUGAUGAUGCCGACAGGCAGCUUAGUUAAUUUUUCUUAAGGCGUAGUUCUCAUUGUUCAGGGUAGGAAAAGUGCCUAUACAAGAAAAGGAAAUUUCGACUUUCUUUUGUAGUUUUUAGUAUCACAACAAAGAUUAAAGAUUUUAUCAGAAACCAUAUUUUCUCUCUUCCUUGUGAUCAUGAAUUCAAUACGUAAAUGCAUAAAAUUUAUCUAUUUUAUAUAUAAAUUUAAUAUAUAUGUUGUGCGUUAAAGUUUGUGACGAUUAAUUUCCGGUUUUAACCUUUACGUUUCAUCGCAUUGUUUACGCCUGGCCACCGUUUUAAUUAGAAGCAAGAUUGAUAAUUUCAAUUUGUCAUUCAAAACAAAUUUCCAUAAAGUCGAUUAAAUUAAUUUUAAUUAGAUUUCCAUUUUAAAUUAAAUCAAUUCAAUUUCAAAAUCAAAAUGGAAUCUGAUUAGAAGUCAAUUUAGAUCAGUUUCGUAGCCGUGGAUAAUGUUUGUGGCAAAUCUUUUACUGAGAACUGUAAAUUUUCCAUCUUUUCAAUGAUACCUCCGUUGCUAAGAUUUUGAUCAGAAGCUCAUGCUUUAUAUAGCUAGGUGAAUAAACCACGCAAUUGAAGUCGAUGGAUGCAACUCCCCCAUUUCCAUUUCCACUACAUGUAUGGAGUCCAAUAAUGCACAACUCAUGAGAGACUUUUCCCCUGGAGCUCCAGAUUGUAUUUGGAAACAAGAAUUAAAUAACCUAAAAUUGAUUUAAGCACAGGAGAUCAGAUCAGAUAUAGCUUUCUAGGCUGCAAAUAUGCAUCAAUAUAGCUAGCUGUGAACAGCUUGCUCAGAGCCCAGUGCAUGUUCAUCAUAUGAAACCCCAUAAACCGUUAGGUAAGGUAAUUUGACUACACAUAAGCCUUUAUUUUUUCCACUCUGAACGAUUUUAGUAAUUUGACUACACAUAUAUGCAGAAAAAAUAAAGAAAAAUAAUUAAUAAUCAAUGGGGUCCUCAGUAAUUAAGCUUGUAAUUUUCAUCAAAAUUACAUGAAUUCAGGUCUCAAAGAUUCCAUGUCAUCAUGGGACCCCAUUCUCCAAUACAAGAAAAGUUAGUUGCUAAAGAGAAGAAACAAAACAAGUGAUGAAAAAUAAAAUUGCAAAGGAUCUUGCAGGAUUUUAUUCACUGCGCCUGUGGAUUACUAAGGCGAAGUGACUCAACACCUGCAUCAAAAUCUUAGCCUCUUCAAGAAAAGAUAAAAGCUUUAAGAAACCCCAAAAACAUUAUAAUUGGAUCAAAGGGCCCUCAGAAGAGGCAUCUCUAACUGUCUCUACACAAACAGGCAGGCAAAGGCAGAGACGGGAUUAAGAGGAUAGAUAUAGAGAGAAGCAAAGGGAAAUUCUCCAAUUUCUACGAUCAGCUUUUUUUCUGAAGGGGGUGGUGAGCAACAUUAUAUAGUGGAAGGAAUUGUGAAAUUAGUAGGGUUUUACUUUCAUCCUACCAAAUUACUAAAAACUCCUCCUUGUAAUGGAUAUUACAAGACAGCCAAACCCACCCAAGGUGAGUCCAAUUCUAUUUCAAAUCCAGAUGAGCCCAGUCAUCUUGCCCAUACCUCUCCAAAUAGGAAACCAAUCCAUUGGUUUUGUUUGACAUUGUUAUUAAAUUAUUAUGAAAAAAAAUAUUUUUAAAAUUUAUUAAUUAAAAAUAUUAAAAUUAAUUAAAAAUAACUUUGAUGUAUUUUAAUAAAUAAUAAAAUAACUUUCUUCAAACUAUUUUUUAAUGAAAUAUAAAAAUGUCACUAUCACUAUAUGGAGGUUUUACAAGAUAAUAAAAAAAAUUUGGAAGUUGGUUUAAAAAAAAUUGAAGUUUUAAAAUUAUGAAAUUAUA